UACAGAGGUCUCAAGCGUUGUUCGGAUUCAUUGGGCGUAAAGGGUGCGUAGGUGGCGGGGCAAGUUUGGUGUGAAAUCCCGGGGCUCAACCUCGGAACUGCACUGAAUACUGCCUUGCUAGAGCACUGGAGAGGGAACUGGAAUUUACGGUGUAGCAGUGAAAUGCGUAGAUAUCGUAAGGAAGACCAGUGGCGAAGGCGGGUUUCUGGACAGUACCUGACGCUGAGGCACGAAGGCCAGGGGAGCAAACGGG
rnacentral:rRNA from 1 species